UACGUAGGGUGCAAGCGUUGUCCGGAAUUAUUGGGCGUAAAGAGCUCGUAGGCGGUCUGUCGCGUCGAAUGUGAAAAUCCGGGGCUCAACCGCGGGCCUGCAGCCGAUACGGGCAGGCUAGAGUUCGGUAGGGGAGACUGGAAUUCCUGGUGUAGCGGUGAAAUGCGUAGAGAUCGGGAGGAACACCAGAGGCGAAGGCGGCGACCUGGACAGAUACUGACACUCAACUACGAAAGCGUGGGUAGCAACAGA
rnacentral:rRNA from 1 species